GGGGUUGUGGCUCAGUGGGAGAGCGCCCACCUAGCAUGAGUGAGGUACUGGGUUCGAUCCUCAGCACUGCA
rnacentral:tRNA from 1 species